rnacentral:sRNA from 1 species
CUUAAUUUCAUCUUCUUCUUC